AUGACUAACAUAUCAGGGACACUUGUGAUUGACAUAGAGAUUGCAGUUGUAAGAUUGUGAGGCCGAUAAUUUUGCAGCAUGUGCAUUGUGCCUUUCGCACCACGUGGCUCAUUGAGGGUAUGACGUGUCUAACUAUCAAGAUAGUAGUUAAAGAAGCCAAAACAGGCCCAAACAUGUGUUCUAGCCCACGUCUCUUUGGCUCUCUAUCCAAUUUUGGCUCAAUAUAAGAUGUGGUAUUUUCCAUCCAAGGCAUAAGUUUCCGACAGGCUCUUCAGCAUAACGGACAAAAUCAUCAUGAAGUCCGUUGUUGGAUUUGGUUCUCUUUUGCUUAUCGCUGUUUUCAUCAAUGUGGCUCAGUGUCGUCAAUUCCAGAGAUCCUCCUUAUUGGACGAAGAAUCCAUUGACCGAGGUGGACUCCCAUCUUAUGAGUCCUUAAUGAAGUCACUCCUUGGAAAGUGCCAAGCAGGGGAGGAAAUUAAUCCAGCCAGCUGGGAAUGUCAGUUAUUUCGAAGAGCAAGUGAUGAUGAAUUAAUUAACCCUUCCACCUUAUGAAUUGGUCAUGAAGGAGCUUAUUCUCGACUGCCAGUAUCAUGAAGGACACCGUCAACCAACGUGGUGCAAAGAGCUUAAAUCGCCGAGUGGAGAAUACGUUGUUCCAUCAUUUGAGGCCAUGCAAAAGAGAACGCAGAGCAAAUGUAGGGCUGUUGAUUAUAGUGGUUCAAGACCCGAUGUCAGGCUUUGGUGCACGGUUUUCGGACAUUUUUGAAGAAAACCUUGACUUUUCUCUCCCUCCGUCAACGACCCAUUGAUAAAUUGGGAUUAAGCGAUGUCAAUCAAAGCUUUAAAAAAUAUACUAUGAAUAUGCAGACUAAA